rnacentral:rRNA from 1 species
UACAGAGGGUGCAAGCGUUAAUCGGAAUUACUGGGCGUAAAGCGUGCGUAGACGGUUACAUAAGUCGGGUGUGAAAGCCCCGGGCUCAACCUGGGAAUUGCAUUCGAGACUGCGUAGCUAGGGUGCGGAAGAGGGAAGUGGAAUUUCCGGUGUAGCGGUGAAAUGCGUAGAUAUCGGGAGGAACACCAGUGGCGAAGGCGGCUUACUGGUCCAUAACUGACGCUGAGGUGCGAAAGCGUGGGGAGCAAACGGG